GAAAGUUUUGCGGUCACACAAUACCAACCCCUGUCCAAUAUGAUCCAACUAGCGACAACAAAUGUUACGAUAAAUUCUGAUGGUAAAUCCUUAUCUACGUACACUACUUUAAUAAAUUUUGUGAAGUCACAUGUAUUGAAGUCUAUUUAUUGAUGGUAGGUAACGUGGUUUACAACUACUAUCCACAUGCACGGUAUUAAGGGGACACGACCAGAAGGCUCCAAUGAUCCAUUUAUGGGCCACCUUAAUGUCAAGGUAGUUUCUUGUAUUUUGUCCACUCAACACUCCACUGAUUUGUAGACUCCACUGAUGUUCUGUUGUUAUUCUGCCCAUUAUUAUGCAUAUGGUUUGAUACUUAUUCUGUUGUAGAUUCAACUGAUGUAUAUGGUUUGAUACUUAUUCUGUCCAUUAUUAUGUCAAGGGGAUGAGUAAAGAAAAAUGUUUUGGGUUAGAGGAUUUAAGCAUUUUUGCUUCCUUUUAUGUCAUUAGGCUCUUUUAACUGUAACUAGAUCCUUCAAUGCUUGCAGUAAAACUCUAGGAUUCCAACACUAAUUACUCUCUACAAUUUCCACAAAGAACCAAUCUCAUUUAUCUUGUGUUCACCAUUGAGACCAUAUAGCAUCUUAAGGUUUAUCUUAGCUCUAUAGUUGCUGAACAAUAUUUGAAUAUGUUAUUUCCCCCAAGCAUGUAUUUAUUUAUCCUGAACGAUAGGAAUUUGGGCAUUGCAGGGCCUAGAUUUUGCCCAGUUCGGGCAGAAUAUGUGGCGCCUGGGCGCCACUGUUCCAGUGCCUAGGCGCCACUAGGCUAUUAUUAUACGUCUUUUUGUGUUGCUAAUCUGUGACUAGCUUCCAAUGACGCGACUGUAUUACUGUAUUUUAGAAUUCUUAUGCAUAAUUGCUCUCCAUGCAACUGAUGGUCAAGUUGGUGAAACUUCGUUGGACGAACAUGAAGAGUUUACCGGGGAUAAUGAGGACAUUGAUACUAAUGAAGAAGAGGUUAAAGUUGCUAGUUCUAAUAACAUUUCAAUCUAACCUUUUAAUUAGUGGAACUUUAAGGGCAAGUUCCAUUUAUAGCUUCCUAUUUAUUCAUUAAUAGCAUCUUGUCCUUUGAAUCAAACAAGCUAUAAGUGGGUUGUGUUUUCAUUAUAUUUAGAUAGCGAGCCUUUGCCUCCUUGUCAACAUUUUUUGUGAAAUCACGUGGAAAAACUUGAGAAAGGAUUUGGUUUCUAU
rnacentral:lncRNA from 1 species